rnacentral:rRNA from 1 species
CCUACGGGUGGCAGCAGUAGGGAAUAUUGCUCAAUGGGGGAAACCCUGAAGCAGCAACGCCGCGUGGAGGAUGAAGGUUUUCGGAUUGUAAACUCCUUUUGUUAGAGAAGAUAAUGACGGUAACUAACGAAUAAGCACCGGCUAACUCCGUGCCAGCAGCCGCGGUAAUACGGAGGGUGCAAGCGUUACUCGGAAUGACUGGGCGUAAAGAGUGCGGAGGCGGGAUAGCAAGUCAGAUGUGAAAUUCUAGGGCUUAACCAUAGAACUGCAUUUGAAAAUGUUAUUCUAGAGUAUGGGAGAGGUAGGUGGAAUUCUUGGUGUAGGGGUGAAAUCCGUAGAGAUCAGGAGGAAUACUCAUUGCGAAGGCGACCUGCUAGAACAGAUCUGACGCUGAGGCGCGAAAGCGUGGGGAGCAAACAGGAUUAGAUACCCUAGUAGUC